UACGAAGGGUGCAAGCGUUACUCGGAAUUACUGGGCGUAAAGCGUGCGUAGGUGGUUUGUUAAGUCUGUUGUGAAAGCCCCGGGCUCAACCUGGGAAUGGCAAUGGAUACUGGCAAGCUAGAGUGCGGUAGAGGGUAGUGGAAUUCCUGGUGUAGCGGUGGAAUGCGCAGAUAUCAGGAGGAACACCAAUAGCGAAGGCAGCUCGCUGGGACGUUACUGACACUGAGGCGCGAAAGCGUGGGGAGCGAACAGG
rnacentral:rRNA from 1 species